rnacentral:rRNA from 1 species
GGGGAAUAUUGGGCAAUGGGCGAAAGCCUGACCCAGCAACGCCGCGUGAGGGAAGAAGGUUUUCGGAUUGUAAACCUCUGUCCCAUGGGACGAAAAAAAUGACGGUACCAUGGGAGGAAGCCCCGGCUAACUACGUGCCAGCAGCCGCGGUAAUACGUAGGGGGCGAGCGUUGUCCGGAAUGACUGGGCGUAAAGGGCGCGUAGGCGGCUUUUUAAGUUUGGAGUGAAAGUCCUGCUUUCAAGGUGGGAAUUGCUUUGAAAACUGGAGAGCUAGAGUGCGGAAGAGGUAAGUGGAAUUCCCAGUGUAGCGGUGAAAUGCGUAGAGAUUGGGAGGAACACCAGUGGCGAAGGCGACUUACUGGGCCGUAACUGACGCUGAGGCGCGAAAGCGUGGGGAGCGAACA